rnacentral:rRNA from 1 species
GACGAACGCUGGCGGCGUGCUUAACACAUGCAAGUCGAGCGGAAAGGCCACUUCGGUGGUACUCGAGCGGCGAACGGGUGAGUAACACGUGAGUAAUCUGCCCUUGGCUUCGGGAUAGCCACCGGAAACGGUGAUUAAUACCGGAUAUGACCACUUCUCGCAUGGGAUGGUGGUGGAAAGUUUUUCGGCCAGGGAUGUGCUCGCGGCCUAUCAGCUUGAUGGUGAGGUAAUGGCUCACCAUGGCUUCGACGGGUAGCCGGCCUGAGAGGGUGACCGGUCACACUGGGACUGAGACACGGCCCAGACUCCUACGGGAGGCAGCAGUGGGGAAUAUUGGACAAUGGGCGGAAGCCUGAUCCAGCAACGCCGCGUGAGGGAUGACGGCCUUCGGGUUGUAAACCUCUUUCGGUAGGGACGAAGCGUGAGUGACGGUACCUACUAAAGAAGCACCGGCCAACUACGUGCCAGCAGCCGCCGUAAAAC